rnacentral:rRNA from 1 species
GACGAACCGUGCGAACGUUGUUCGGAUUCACUGGGCUUAAAGGGCGCGUAGGCGGGUCCACAAGUCAGGGGUGAAAGCUCCCGGCCUAACCGGGAAAGUGCCUUUGAUACUGUGGGUCUCGAGGGAGGUAGGGGCACGUGGAACUUCCGGUGGAGCGGUGAAAUGCGUAGAUAUCGAGAGGAACACCUGCGGCGAAGGCGGGUUGCUGGGCUGACACUGACGCUGAGGCGCGAAAGCUAGGGGAGCGAACGGG